ensembl:lncRNA
GUUCCACCAUGUCUUCCCACCCCUGGCUGUCUGUCCUGCUGCAGGAGUGGAAGGAUGAGGAGGACCUUGUGUUUCAAAAGCAGCAUACUAGGUUCUUUUUGAAGAGCUGGUGAAGAAUGGGAAAGUAUCCUCAGGAUGCAGGUCUCCUCUGCUGAGAUGUGGUAUCUCACAGGAGACUGCUCCACAUUGUCCUCACCAAGGCCCAUGGUUCUCAGCCUGGUGAUUAAGGUUUCCAUGGACGGUGGUUCUAUCUGAACUCUGGACAGAGAUUAGGAAGUCAGGUUCUCCACAUCAACAGUAAAAUGGUAUGAUGUUAAGCUCACAACUAUGUCUGCUGCCCCAAGUGUCCAAUAAAUAAAAGAUAUUAUGAUUAAUAUUAUUAAUAGGCUAAAUAAUAAUAACAAUUCAUUAUUACCAUUAAUUGUGGUAAAAAGAGUAUGCUAGAGUGUAUAUUUUGUUAAUUUGAUAAUGUUUUAGAAUGUUAGAAAUUUAUUUCAGUUUCAUUCAAUUCAAACAUAAAAUUUCAGAAUUUGAAAAGUAUUGUAGUACCACACAGCGGGUUAAUUUGUAGCCAUAAACCCAGAAUUGCGCAUGUAACGGUAUCAUUGUGCAUAAAACGCAUUAAAUAAAAAUGUUUUUGAUUGAUCCAUCCAUCCAUCUAUUGGAUGCUUUGCAAUACACCUUGCAUUGACUUGAAAUAGCUCUCUGCUUGGUAACUAAUGGGACCAUCGAAUUACUUUUUUUUGUCUUGCACUAAGGCAAGAUCUCGGAGGGACUUCCAGUUUCUAAUUAAUAAUUGGUAUAUGUGGCUGACGCUCUGUGAGAUUAUUUGAAGUCAUUAGAAAACACCCCCUUCCACUGAAUCUUCGGAGAGAAAGAAGGCGACUAGCUGUCCUACUGGGAUUUUAUCGACGCACCAAUAGUGUUUUGUUCAUGAAAUUUAAUUGCGGCAUCCACAAACUUGUUCCUGUGGGUAUUACAAAAUAAUGACUCUGUUCUAACAUGAAAUUAAAAGCAAAAAUGGUUUUUUUUUCCUUUGGGCUGGAAUCUUAAUGAAAAAUAUGAAUGCUGACACCCUAAUUCCUGUUGUUCUCGUGCCUUACUUCAUUGUUUGAUGAUAAAUUACCACUAGUCUUGACUCUCAAUCAAAUUCCC